rnacentral:lncRNA from 1 species
GAGAAGAAGAAAAAUAAGGUCUUGAAGACCUCGGAACCCGGGGUUGGGUUCUAAAAUUCGAGAUGACCUUUUGGGUCAUCACACCUGGCCUGGCGCUUGGUUCUUGUCUUCUCCGAUUUUUGUCUUUUUGUGUAUUUUUGGCAUCAUUGUAUGUAACCUUUACUCAUUUUCAUCUUCCAACGAUCCUAUACAUAAUAACAACUCAAUUAAUCUCAAACGUCGUACAUAUUAACAUUGAAACACCAAAAUGUAAGGUACUAAAAAUAUACAUUUAUAACCAAAUAUCACUAAAAAUGGGCCCAACAUAUGAGUUAGUGUACCUUGACAUGUUUGAUUCAAAAUAAUGAAAUUUUAGUAGAGAAAUCCAAGCUUUUAGUUUGCAUAUCUUGUAGAUAAAAGAUCUAAAAUUGUAUUAUAGUAAUAUUUUAGAUCAAAUAUGCAUCUAAUUUUAAAAACCUGUUGAAUAAUAAUUUCACGUGUAAUGUAGUUUGAUGAACUAUGUUAGUUGAUUUUGGAUAUCCUUAGAAGGAAAAAUAUUUUGUUUCGGAAUAAUUCGGAAGUUUAAAGUGAAACAUCCACUCUUAAAGGAGUUUUACACUCACAUAAUCAGGAAUUUAUAAGUUUGAAAAUUAUUUGGAUAGUGAAGUGUUUGUAUUUUCUUGGAUGAACCGAUAAGUAUAUAUAAACAACUUAGAUGUUUGUCCUUUUUGACGGACCGUAAAAUUUUUUGCGGAGAAUUCGUAAUUUUAACUCUACGACAACUCUUGCCAGUGACGACAUCAGAGACAAGUCAAAAAUUAUUUUGACCAAACUCUCUGACAACAUUCAUUACAAGAUUAAUAAAAUUUAAAAAAAAAUAUUUAAAAUUUUGAUAGUUCUCAUCGAAAAUUUAGCAAAAACCAUGGUUAUAGCGAAAAAUCAUUUGUAUGUUAAUUUUUAAGCAAAUAUGUCAGUUCUAUAGGUAAAAGACUAUAAUAGUAGAAUUCAAGAUUAGAUUGUCAACUGACAAUACCAUGAUAAGGUUAAACAUACAUGGUCCUUCUAGAUGUUGUUGUUGUAGAGAACCUAAAGAAGAGACGUUGGGUCAUGUAUUUGGGGACAAUGAAAUUGCAACAACUGUGUGAAGAUUCUUUUGCAACAUUUGUGCUGUGAAAUUAAGCCCUAUUCUUCGACAUAGGAUCAAGGUUUGGUGGCUACAGAAGCCUAUGAACAAGGUUCAAGAAGUAAUGUUCCAAUGCCUGCCCUGCCAUCUAUAGUAUGUUGGGAAAUCCAGACGUUCAGCUAAAUAUGAGGACACCAAUAUUUCCUACAGGUAUGUUAUUGAUCAAAUCAACUAGUAUAUCUUUUAGUGGGAGAUGGUUGGAGGUUAGUGCAACUGCGAAGAAAGUUAAACAGAGCCUUUUGAUUAAAAGGCUUAAAUGGGAUAAACCAGAAUUUUUUGAGCUUAAGUUGAAUAUUGAUGGUUGCUCUAAGGGCAAUCCAGGACAAGCAGGAGGUGGAAGGGUCACAAGAAAUCAUAGAAGAGAUAUGAUGAUGGCCUUUUUAGAUUAUUUCUGAGGCCAAUGCCCUGCUAUAUGGGAUCAGUUAGUGUAUCCAAAAUCAAUUCACAGAGUUCAAGUUGAACUUGCAUCUGACUAUAUCUUAAUUAUGAACAUGGUCAAAAGAAAAAUUAAAUUAAGCUGGCAAUUGGUGGAGAUUAUUACCAUUACUAGAAAAAUGAUAAUCCAAGGACACUUUGUUAUUAACCAAUGAGUAUACUCGUAUACUCCGCCUUCUGUAGACACAAGUUAAAUAUACUCCGAGCUUUGUGAAUAUACUCCGCAUCAAUGAGUAUAAUUUUUUAAUUAAUACUUAACUAUCAUAUAUGUAAAAUUAUGGUCAAGUUAUAAAAUAAAAUACAAAAGUUAAAACAUCUUUCAAAAUCCAAGCAAGCAAGACUAAAUAAAAAAUCGAAGUUAGAGAGUAAUAUACUCAUAGAUAUUGUGUUAGAUAAAUAUGCACUGAAAUUCGCAACAAAAUAUUUCUUGAGUACAUCAAAUCGUAAACAAAAAGAGUACUAUCAAAGAUAGAUUAGUACCUCCAAAUUGGCAUCUUAACAUAUCCCGAUCACAACAGUACAAUGAUCGAUCAUGCGUUUCUAAUAAACACCAAUUAAAUAAUGGCAUAAGACCAAUAACGAAUAUAGAAAAUUUUAAGACAAGCCAUUUUGAGGUUUUUUAUUUUAUUUUGAUAAUGAAACUUUUCCCUUCGGAAAUAUUCGAUAGAAUAAGUAGAAACUAAACUAAAAUCUAAUGUAAUAAAGAGUCCGAUUUGAACAAAUAAAAAAUUUAAAAUCUAGAAAACAAGUUAACAAAAGCAGCUUUUAAUUAACUUUAUACGCCUCAUCAAUUAACUUGUCUCGUCAAUAUUAUAAUCUCUGCAAAUAAGCAUAAAUCAAGACGCAAAGCUCCAUUCCAGUAAAUUGUCAUCUAUCCAUUUGCAAACCCAGUAAAUUCGUUUGCAGCUACUUGUAGGAAAAAAGAAGACAUGAAAUUAGAGAACUCUUGAAUUGCAAAUACAUUGAUACCUAGUGCUCCUUCUAUAAAUAUUAGUGAUAAUUAAAUGACUAUUCCUAAAUAUUAGGGUAAUAAUUAAAGAAAAUAAUCAAAUUACUAUUUUAUCCAAUAUGAACUCUAUUUUAAAAGUAUAAAAAAGACGAACGACAUUUCGCUAAGGGCCUUCCUGUUUUUAAUAUAGUAUAGAUAUAGAUAAAUGAUAAUCCAAGGACAUUUUGUUAUUGACCAAUGCUAUAGGGAAUCCAACAUGAUUGUUGAUCAUUGGCUAAUUUGGGGGUGAUUAAUAAAAAUAGAACUAUCUUUACCUACGGCGUUAUCUCUGCCCAGUGAGGUUAAAGCCAUGAUGAAGAUGGAUCAAAACAACAGUCUUACUUUCAGAAUCAAGCCAAAGAAAAAGAGCUACGCUGUUUAUGGAUAAUCCUCAUAUCUUAGGUUAUUGUUUGAAAGCUUCAAUGCUAUAUCUUGUUAAAGAGGACUCUCCCUUAUUUCAUUUUAAGCAUAGUCAUAGUUUAGAUUGCACUACCUUUUUGUCAUGGAUAGGAUCCUAGGUUUCUAUAUAAUUUUAUACUGGAAUGAUGUUGUAUAUUACACAUUUAGGAUCAAGAGGUUAGGCAACAUGUCACCCUCUCUUUUGUACGAUUGUUCGGUUAUCAAUACAUUGAUAGGGUUUUGCCAAACCCCUCUUACCUUAAUGAGGCUUGAAAAAUAUAUAUUAUAUUUUAGACUCAGGAAUGAUAUAUAUAUAAUUAGGAGAAGUAUCGUAAAGAGAAAAUGCAUAAUUUUUUCCAUAGAGCAUGAAUCAAUUGUAAUGCUCUUUGUGGAAGAAUUUUAUAAGAAUGUAUAUGAGCAUAAUGAAUUCAGACCUUUGCUCAAUUUGACUGCAAUACCAUUAAUCAAUUAUUUGGCCCGCCUAAUAUUGAGGCUGGCAAGUACAAUAUCUUUGGGGAAAAUGAGGAUAUAUGAAAUUAUGAUUAUGCUUUGCCUAGAGCAAGAAUGCAAGAGAAAAAGUGUAUUUUUUAAGGCGCACGAUUGAGUGUAAGGCUGGUCACAAGAAUAACAAAAGUACGUAUUAAAUGGGAGGAAGUCGUUCGAAGUCUAUGCUAUUGUAACUAGCAUUGAAAUUGAUGUUGGAUAUUUCUUUAGGUAUGUAUCUUUAAUAUUUCGUAUUUUGUGCAUACUUUUUACGUUUUGAGUUUUAUUUUUUUUCUUUGCUAUAUGUGAUUACGAUGAUACACGACUUAGUUUGUGAAUUAAAAUUUGCUUUAAAUGUGAUGAAAUUCUGCAUUCUAUAAAUUUUGUAAGAAACAAUAUUGUGAAAAAUCUCUUAAAGAAUAUGCUGACUUUGUUUUAAUAAUUAAUUAGAUUCAAAAGGUAAGUUAAACUUUUAUAUUCAACUAGUCUUAGGGUACGCACAUUGCGCGUGUACUCCAUCUCGAUGUGUAAAUAUAUUUAAAAUAAUUAUAUAAAUAUUCUAUUAAAAUUAUGUUGGAGUUAUAAAAUAAAAAUUUACAUAAUUUAAAUAAAAUAAGAAUUCGUAUAAUAUGUACAAUAUUAAAAAUUUAAAUACAAUUCAAAUAGUGAAGGAUUUAAUGCAUAAAAUUUAAUUAAUUAAAAACUUUGAAAUAUAAGGGAAAAGUUAAAUAAUGAUAAGGAGUAUACUUGAUAUACAUAAAUUAAAUGAUAGGGAUGUAAUAAUAAUAUCUUUGUCUGCUCUAAAAUUAGAUGUAUCAUUUGAACUUGACGUGCAAUUGUCAAGUAUCCUUUUAUUAAUUAAGUAUUUCUAGAAUUUGAUAUUGAUUUAAAGAGUAUAAUAUGUAUUUAUUUUUUUAUACAUUAAUGUUAAAGAAUGCGUGUUUGUUUUUAAGGUUAAAANNNNNNNNNNNNNNNNNNNNNNNNNAAAAGAUCGUGCAAUUUUAUAUAAGGAUUUUGAUCUAUCGAUUUUGCAUGAACUUGAAAAGAAUGUCCUUUAACUAUAUCUUUUGAAAAAUGUUAUUAUUUGUAUGACCUAAUAUUAAAUCUUAAAUUAUGGAUAUUUGUUACUUCAUAUGCAUUUGUCAUAAUUUUUCAAAGAUUUAUAAAUUAAUACAAAUAACUUACUAUAUGAAAAAUUACAUUAAGUCAUUUGGUGGAAUCAAUGGAAAAAGAAAAAAUUUUCCUUCGGUGAAUUUUGUAUAUAGGUGAACACAAAGCCACCAGAUUUGGUAGGAUUUUUAGAAGACAUAAUUGAGUGUUCGUAGGCUUUAAACUUGUUUCCAUUCAUAAAGACUUUAACGUUGAACAUUGUUUGAAAAUAAAAGUGAGAUUCAUUAAUGAUCUCAAACUCCUAAAUAUAGGUAGUUUUUUUUUAUAAAAAGAGAUUUAGUUCUAUACAAAAAGAUACAUAUUUUAAAUAAGGAAAAACUUAAUAAUAAAAAUCUUAGAUAAUUUUAAAGUCCUUAAAAUUAGGAAAUAACUAAAUUACUAUUUUGUCUAAUAUAUAAUAUAUUUUUAAAGGUUUGAAAAAGAACGAAACUUUCCAAUUGAGGGGAUUGAAAAUCACAUAAAAUUAUGACCGAAAAAAUAGAAUGCAUAUCUUUUUUGACUAUUCUUAGAAUGUCGUCAUUAAACUCCUAGAAUGGAAGGAAAUUCAAAUAUCAAAGCUCUAAAUAUUAGGAAAAUAAUUCAUUAACUACUCCUAAAUAUUAGGAAAUUAAUCAAAUAAAUAAUUUCAAAUAUUAGAAAAAUAGUCAAAUAACUAUUUUAUUUAGUGUGAACUUUAUUUUUAAAGGAUAAAAAAGUGAAUGAUAUUUGACUACGGACUUUUAAUAUAGUAUAGAUAGAUUCAAAACCGCUAGCAAGAAGGAAAAAGAAGAGAAUUAACAAAGGAGAGGCAAGUGAAAACACGCUCUAUUUGGCUGAUCUUCCCAAAGUACCCUCACCCCAAUAUUUAUUCACUGAUCUACCCUUUCCCCUCGACCCCCAAAAUAUAUUUCAAAACCCUAGAAUCGUAAUAUCCCAUUCUAAUUUCUAAAAGCUUUGUGUUCUCGGGGAGCAAUUACAAUCCAGAAUACUCGCAAACACUUGAAUUAGAUAGCUAUUUCAUCAAUUCUUCGAGAAAGGUGCGUUUUCUUAGCUUAUUACCUUGUAAUUUUUGGGCUUUUGUAACCUUAAUUCUUCGAUUUUGGGAACGUAUUGAAUGUUUUACUUCAUUUUGGGUUUUUAUUUACCUUAAAUUGAAUAGAUUAUUUCUGUGCUUAACUGAAUUUUCUUAAAAUAUUUGGGCGUUUAAUGUUUUUUUUUUCUUUAUUUGUUAAAAAGUUCCUCCCCCUCAUUGUGUAGGGUGUUAAUUUCCGCAAUAUUCAGCCUAUUACUUCUAUUUGAUCUUAUCGAAAUUUCUAUUUGUAUAAGUUUUAGGAAUUUCAUAGAAUUUUUUGUGCUAAUCAUGCUCCGAAUCUAAUUAAAUAUUUCUUUUAUUGUGUAUUUUUCAGGGUUUGAAAUUUCAUAACUUCAGUUCACGACUCCUAUGAGAUUUUGUCUGAAUAUUUUCAUUUUUUUUUCUUCUAGGGAAUUUCAUCGAAUUUAUUUAUUGCUAAUCACAGCUUUAAGCCAAUUACGAGAAUUUUUUUUCUAAUUUUUAUUGUUUUUUUUAAUGAAUUUAUUGGGAUCAUUUUCCUUAUUUGAUAAUCAAUCUAAUUUCUUCGGGAAACAGCAAUAAAAAUCCUUAAAUCUCGAAAAUCCAAAAAGAUAUUGAGCUAAUGAUUUAACAGUUGUGCAACUUGGUUCAGUAUUGCAAUUAAUUUGUACGCAAGUUGGCAUAUUAAACGAUUUUUUCAGGUAAUUGUGAUGUUGUGAAGGCUGCUUUUUAGUUCGGGGUCUAUGGUCAACUUUGGUUUUGUCUAUUUUAACUUAUCCUUUUUGUAUAUGAAGGAGGGUUGUACAUAAGUUUUUUGACAUUAGGUUUUGAGAUAUUUAGCCUACCGGUUUGCUGAUUUUUGGUAUAAUGCGUGAACAGUUAUCGUAAUAGAGUUUUCGACUGGAAUUCAAACAUGUUCUCCACUGGUCUAUUGAACUUAAUUUUCAGUGCUUAUGUUGUAUUGGAAUCUUUUUACAGAAUUUUGCUUAGUAUUAUAUCUUUUUGUCUUAUCACAGAUUGUGGCUGUUGGAAAGAGAUUUUGAUCAAAUGAGGUUCAAAAAGGGUGAUAAGGUGGAAGUAAUGAACAGAGCUGAGGUACCAAUCUCAUGGCGCGCUGCCGAGAUAGUGUCUGGUAAUGGCCACACUUCCAGUGUCAGAUAUGGAUCUGGUUCACCAAUGCAAAGUGAAAAUAUCGAAGAAAGGGUAUCAAGGAAGAUGAUAAGGCCCUGCCCCCCUGUAGUGCAGUGUGUGGAGACUUGGGCACCUGGGGACAUUGUGGAGGUAUAUAAUGACUGCUCUUGGAAAGUUGCCAUCGUGCUCAGUAUUUUACCACGUGAUCGUUAUUUGGCGAGACUACUUGGUUGCUCGCUGGAACUUAGCAUUCAUAAAUCAGGCAUGAGAGAUAGACAAAAUUGGAAAGAUGGCAAAUGGAUUUUUAUCAGAAAGGUACAUAUUCUUUUUCAUUUUAUUAUUAUGUUUGGCUUUACGGAGAAUAAGCUUGUUAUAAAAGUUUGUAAUAACUUGGAGUUUCUCUCAUCAUUUAUCUGCUCUUUUCCCUGCCUUUGUUUUUAAUUAGAAAAAGUUCAUUUGACAGGAUUAUUUUGUAUUGCUGUCUACUUCAGAUCCAUUAUGUUUUGUUUGAGUCCAUAUAUGUUUUUAAGUAGAUCUUUUUGUGAGAACAUUUGUGUAUAUGUGUCUCUAUGCAUUCGGUCUCUGUAGCAAAAAGGGACUGGACAAGGUAUAGUCCGUGUAGCUUGAAUAAUAUGGGCAGUGGGUUUGACCCUGGUGGUUAAGUGUUCUAGAUUAUAUGCAUCAUAUCAAAUUAUAAAAUUAUUAUUCUAAUUGAUGGCAGUUUCGGUAACGUCUAUGCAAAGAGGGAACACUUUUGAAUGUCUGUUUAGUUGUCCUUACACAGUAUUGUAUUUGAUGUGCUUAUAGUAAUAAGCAGGUGAAUUUUUUAUUUUAUGCAUAUGGUGUAUCUUUCAAUAAUUUGUAUAAAAAAUUCAGAAUCUAUUUCUUCCUUGCCUUCCCUGAUCUCACUAUUGUUUUCUUUUGCAGGGUUGUGAUCAAGCUGGGACCCAGAGAUCUAACAAAAUUUCAGCUCAAGAUUAUAGUCAGAAGAUGAAGUCGCAGCCGCUGCAACUUGAUGCACAUACUAAAGUUCUUGGAGAAACUGAUGGUUUAGCCACUGAAGGGAAAAAUAGAGGACAAGAGUCUUGUUUAAUCUCAUCAAGAUCCCUAAAGAGAAUGUCUCCUUAUUGCACAUCUGGUGUUGAUUCACUUUAUGGGAAUGCUCAGAAAUUUCAAGCAAUCGAGACAGAUAAUCGCAGGCAACGAGCAGCUCUAGUGACCUUACAGGAAAAGGUAGAUGCUGUUGCUUACCCAAGAGGAACUCUGGGUGAAAAAUACGUGCAUACUUCCGUUAACAUUAGAUCAAAUGGAUUUAAUGAAUUGGAGAGAGAAGAUUUAGGUGGUGUCAUUGGCUUUUUCCCUAGGAGAAGUUUGGAACUUAGCGAUUCCGAUAGUGAUGCCUGCUCUGUUGGUAGUUGUAGUGUCACUAGUGAGAGACCAAACGAAUUAUUAGGUCAUCUUCCACAAAUUUCACGUCGAGUUUCAGGUGGCCUUUGUAGUGAUGCGGAGUCAGUUUGUGGUUCAGGUCCUUCAGGAUAUAAGGAGAAAAGUCUCAAUAAUCCUCCAGGAGAGGAAUUGGCAACAAGUGUUCAUAGAUUAGAGUUGCAUGCUUAUCACUGCACCCUGGUGGCAUUAUAUGCUUAUGGACCAUUAACUUGGGAAAAAGAAGCAUUAUUAACUGAUCUUCGUAUAACACUGCAUAUUUCAAAUGAUGAACAUUUGAUGGAGCUAAAGAACCUAAUUUCUUCUAAAGGUUCAUAUUAUAUCAAAUAGCAGCUGUAAUAUUUGUCUUUCUUUUCUUCUCUAUUUUAGGUUGCUGUUGCUAACAGAAUUGUAAAAAGCUAGAUGUGAUGUUAUGUUUUGUAACUUCGGAGGUUCAGUUAAAUACAGUUUUUCUAACUGUUCACUUUUGUAGUAUGGGAUCUUGUAUAUAUUUUUUUAUAUUGGAAACAUGUAUCAACAUAUCAUGGUGAAUGACUGUACUGAUUCCUGUCCUUGUGCGGUCAGGGUUUUCUUCAGUUCACUUUUAUCUUGUGAUUCCUAUAUGCAGUAUAGGAAUACAUUGCACACUAAAAAUAUCUAUUUUAGAGGCAAAAACAUCAUGUAACACAAAAUAUACGAGAUGUGAAUGAUGUUUUAGCAACAGCAGGUAUAGGAGUGAUAAUACACUGUAUCCUUCAUUGAAAUGUGUGUUAAAGUUCUUUCGUACCUUUUAAAUGAUUGUACGAAGAGCUUUUGCAGACUAGAUGCCAAAGUAUUUGAAGGAGGGCACAUGCCCAUUAAUGUAGGCUGUAGUUGAAGAUUAACUGAUACAAAUAGUUGAAGGAUAAGCCUGGAAAUGUUUUAUCUGAUUAUUUUGGUUUGUACAGUAGGUUGUACCUUCAGAUGUAAUUUGGAAUGUUGCUUAGCUAUAUGAAAUGGUGGUUAUAACUUGGGACUUGAAACUUUAAGUCUUAUCUACGUUUUCUGUGAAUCUUCGUAUAUAAGCUCUAAUUCUGCACAACUUCCCAAUGUUACUAAUGGUUUUAACUAUGUAUUUAUUGGCAGAAUUUUGCUGCCUAUAAAAAAUUUGGCAGCAUAUGAAGAUCCUUUUUGAGGAUAUUAUUAAUCAGUCCCAUGCAUAUUCCAGGGCCAAAAAUUGAAGCAUCAUUCCUUGCUUCCAUAUGUAUAAAGUUGAUGCUGGGAUUUGCGGCCAUUCAAGUGGCAUAAAAUGGGGAUACCGUAUGCAUCUGCUUUCCCAGAAAUCUUGGCAAAUCUCUCGUAUCACAGGUUUCCUAUUUUGUUUGCAGUUUAACAUUGUUUGUAUCCGAGCUUCAAAUCUGAAUAAAUUCCGUCCUUUCGAAGUAAGUAAAAGAGUUGAUAUGUUUCUUUGCAGUUCCUCAUGGAAGAUUUGUUGUUGGAAAAUGCAGACAUGUAGUAAAUUUUGUUUAGUAUAUUCUGUAUAACUUUAGGUAACCCCACAUUUGCUAUCAAAUAAUUUGGAUUUCAUUACCGUGGAUGGUGGUUAGAUUUAAGAUCUGCUGGUGAUUCUAUAAUGUGGUUUAUUUCUGUAUCUGUUUACCAUGUUUCCCUAUUAUAUAAGUAGGUCAAUUGCCACUGUUUCCUUUGCAUUGUGAAUUAUUCCUUGAGCAGAUGUGUAAUCAUAGCAAAUUUUAAUUUCACGCUGAUGGUGUAUUCUUCUUCUUAUUCUUUAUUUGUCCAUUUCAGGCUGUUUGUUGGUUUAUAGAUAAUUUUUUGGCAUUUGGAAAAUCUGUAGUAAUUUAUUGUUUCAUAUUGGAAUCGGUUCCAGGCAUAAUUUGUUCCUUAUAGAAAAAAGGGAGAAUUUUAUUAAGUUUUGGAGCAAAUAACAAACAAGUUGAAUAAGCUUGAAGAGGGAGGGGGGAGGGGGGAGGGAGGGGGGAGGGGGGGAGGGAGGGGGAGAGAGAGAAUGCAGUAUAUGUGCUGGAAUGAGUUCUUAGCUUCAUCUUAUUAAGUUUUGGAGCAAAUAACAAACAAGUUGAAUAAGCUUGACUUUUUUUUCACUACUUUUACGAUGUCAAUCAGUUGGUAAGAUGUUAAACUCCAUGCACGAUGCCAUUUAAAGGAAGUUGGUUCCAGUUUAGUUAAGGCUGCAAAAUCAUAUUUAUUGAAUUUUAGUCCCCAAAUAUGAAUCAUUAUAUCUGUUCCACUCUACUCAGACCCCCAACAAACUCAUUACUAUGUGGAUUCAUCAUAAAUUGAUUAUAUUCUCCCGUGUUGUUAAUCUACCACAACCCUUCUUUUAUCCGGACUUGGAACCUGCUACACUCUGAGUAUAGUUGUUAGAUUGCACAGUUUUUUGUAAAACAAGAUCUAGCUGCAUUUAGUAAAUAGAGAAUUAAUUCAUUAGGAUAAUGAAUUAAAGACUCAUUUUUGUUCUUGUUGAGCUUGCUAAUAACAGUACUUCAAAGAAUUCCUUCUGUCUUUUUUCAGGUUUAAAUGGUCUCUUAGAAUCAUGGUAUAUUAUAUUUCUGGAGUUUGGUUUAUGUAUUUUGACAAAAGGAGCUGAGUGUGUAGACAUGCACAAGUUCCAUUAUAUACAUGCGAUGUGUUAAUGAGAUAUCUAACCUAAACAAUAGCUUAAUUGGCAUAGAAUCUCGGUUAUGUGCUAAUAUGCUGAAACAUGUAACUCUUCUUUACUAACUCCAAGAGGUUGGUCGUGUGGCACAUUCCUUAUGGAUAAUAGAUGUUUUUUUUUUUUUAUGAGAAUUUCAAAUAAUUUUUAAGUGGCUGAGAAUUUAUCAAGGUUAAGAAGUUGACUGCUGAACUUGCCUAUGGAAUAUUUUUAUGUGUUGGUCUGUGCACUUCUAACUGCUGCUUUAAAUUGAGGUCAAACUGCAGUCUUUCUAAGGAGUCAGUUGUUGAACUGCUCAUAAGGGAACAUUUGUUAUAUGCACAAUCAGUUUGACUUAAUCAUCUAGUUCAUAUAACAUUUUUGGCUAAUCUGUUAGAUCUUAUUGGGCUUAUUCUCCUGGUUGAAAAGGUGUCUCAAGGCAGAAGAUACUUGUCUUCCUGACUUGGUCAAUGCUUUAGUUAUUGCAAGGUGGUACAGUCGAGCUAAUGUUCUCAUAUAGUAAACAUGCUGUGUCCCAUCCACAACACUACAAGGUAAGUGCUAAACAUAAUGGUUGACCUUCUCCUAACCUUGCUUACCCUGGCUACUUCAUAAUGUUAGUUAAGGAAUAUUACUUUCUCUCAAAUUUUUUUCUGGUUGUAUUGGGUCGGGGAGGGUGGGGCCAUGGUUGAAGGGGCGUUUCACUUGCAGAGGUGCCAGUUGAUACCUCAAGUGGUGAUUCCAGAUAUCUGUUUGGUAGUCAUCCUUGUUUUUUCUUUAUUUUCUAUGUGAUCUUAUCAUCCUCCCAAUUUGAUGAUUAUCUCAUCUACCAAAUUACUCUAGGACAUCUGCACUUUGGAUAUUUCUCUAAGCUAAAGUUAUACAUUUGCACUUUAGCAAAAUCAUGUAUUUCAAAACGAGAAUCUGCUCAAGCAUGAAUGCUUAAGAUUGCUCAGUUUUAAUGAAUUACACCCAGAUAUCUGUACUUUAUGAAUAAUUUUUGGCAUUUCUCUAUCUUCUCUGUUAUGUGAAUGAAAGAGAGACAACAAAAAGUUGAAGGUGUUCAGAAUUCCAUUAUUGCCAUUUGAGGUGUUGAGUUCCGGUUAGACCUUUCUUGAGUUGCUAUCUUUUGAAAGGUGUUUACAGCAGGCCAAACCGGGCAUGUGGAAGCAUGAUGAGGGGUUUUAGAUAGUGGUGUUGCCUUUUUUUACUUUAAAACCUGAGAAUGCCUUGAUCCACUAUGUUGAGGUCAGAUGCAAAUUGUACAAGGAAAAUAAGAAGGAAAAUGAACUUGACUUAUUAUCUUGAUAAGCGAAUCAUUGAGCAUAAUGAGUUGAGCGAAGGAGUCAUUUGGGUGGUGCCUCAGGAUGUGAGAAGCUUACGAGUUUGGCCCAUUAUGCAUCUUGUGGACCAUAUGAUUGGAAUAAAACAAUAGAUGCUUUGAAGGAAAGAGACAACCUACCUCUUUUGUAGAAAAUAGAUGUCAGCAGGUUAUUUAUACUUGGGAGCAAUAUGCUGGAUAGUCCAUCUUUUCUUUUGAAUUUGUUGGAGGAUAUGAUGCUGUAACUGUUAUGAUGCGCUUGAUCCUCUCUUUUGUACUUCUAUAGUAACCUUCUUUGUAAUUCAUAUUAUAAAUACUUUAUUUUACCACACAAAAAAAGAGUUGAGGUAAGGACUUUGCAAUCUUAUUACUUUGCUCCGCAACCAAUACAUGCCUUUUCUCUUUUUCCUUUUGUCGAGGCAUGGAUCGUUCAAGCUUGUAAACAAGCCAUUAAAACUCGGUAUGCAUCAGUCUUGUUAUCUUUGCAGCACCCUGAGACAAUGAACUAUCUCAUAGAAACCAAUUUAUUUUCCUUUAUGCAGUUAAUUUCACUGCCUGGGAGUUGGGGACAUGACAAUGGCACUGAGAUCUUCUAGGAGGGAUGAUUGCAGCAAGUAUGUAGGGAUGAUUGCCUGGGAAGUGUUUGUUAUGUUGUAUGUAGGGUAUAUAUUUCAUCCGCAAUGAAGAUACAAAAUGUUUAUAGGGAAGUGAUGAUGUGUUGAAAGGGGUUUAGCCCCUCUUGCACCCGGGCAUCACCCUCAAUUCUGUGUUUCUGUGUAUAACUUGCAUCUUGAAUUCAAAGUAUAAUUACCCAGAGAAUAUGCCUUUUCAGUCUAUGCGUUAAUCCUUGUGUUUGUGUUUGUAAUCGUGGUUGCACUUUCUUGUCGUUUUACUUAUGGCUUUCAGAGAGCUCAUCAAAAGUUAGCUGUGUUUGAAUUUGUACUUUCAGUCUAUACAAUGUGUUAAUUCUUGUGUUUGUGUAGUCUAAUAUAUGUUUAAAAAGAACAGCCGAAACUCCUAUGUUGAUAAGAACUACAACGGUCGACUGAAAUUUGUUCAUAAGCGCGUGCACAUUACCUUCUCAGAUACCCAAAAGAUUAACAUCAUCCACAACUUGUAGCCCGAUGUCAUGAUCUUGUUCAAUCAAAUUUCGUAGCUUCUACAUGGUCGGAGCUGUAACAAGUAACAGCUCUAACUAGGAUAGAGCGGAAAUACUGUUGAACCAGAACAUGCAUAAAAUAAGCAACCAAAGUAGCUUCAUCUAUCCAAAUCGGUCCAUCCAAACAAAUAGAGGUCCACAUUCAGAAGAUAUGAAUAAAAACUUCAUAUCGUUCUCACAAACCAGAAAGAAAAUAGAACAAGAACAGAGUUCAAAAAGCCUACAUAUUCUGGAACAGAGAGUCCUCAGAAGCCCAUCAAUGGUGGAAAAAAAUGGGACACCAGUACAUAGGAAAAAAGAAAAAUCAUAACCGCAUCCACAAAUGCUGUCCGAGAAGGUUGAUUACUCUCUUAAUCAAAGGUCUCAUCAUCAUCAUCUGGGAGGGGUUGACUGGCAGCAGCAGCAAGCUCAGCCUCAUGUCUGCAACAACACAUCAAAGUUACAAAAACAUAUGGAAGAAAUGACAAUCAAAAUCUAAACAAAUUACUGGAAGAGAAGAGGUAAAUUGGUGAAGAACUUACUGUUGUUGUGCAGCCAAGUCGAUCUGUACUUCAGGAGGAGCAAGGGCAGGAGACUCCACAAAGUGCAAGUUAGGAUCCCUAUAACAGGGAAAUCAUAUUGAAAACAUCAUCAGAAUAUGAUUCUAGUACGUUUCUUCUGCAGAAUGGCAAAAUUUAGCUAAUAGUCAAAUGAAGAAAGUAAGUACCCGGCAAGUUUCCUGGCAAGGUAAAGGAAAGGCUUCUCAAAGUUGUAGUUACUCUUUGCUGAUAUCUCAUAGUAUUGCAAAUUCUUCUUCCGGUGGAAAGUAACCUGCUUAGCCUUAACUUGACGGUUCUUCACAUCAACCUUGUUUCCGCAAAGAACAAUGGGAAUAUUUUCACAGACACUAAUUCAACAAAUGUAAAUAUCUCAGUUUGAAAACAAAAACAAGUUUUAAAAAACAAACCAAAGAAUAAAAUCAAUUCAAAAAGGAUGCGGAGACAUACCGGCAAAGAUCCCUAUGCCAUGUGGGGACAUUCUUGUAUGUCAAUCGGGCUGUCACAUCAAACAUGAUGAUAGCACAUUGACCAUGAAUACUGCAGACAAGACAGUAGCAAGUCAAGAUGGAAUAUACACAGCAUAUGACUCUUUUUUAGAUAACACUUGAAAAUUCAUAAAGAUUCCAUAAUGCUAUUGUAAAAGGAACACUGAACAACCUUCUGCUAUGCUCAUUUUAUAAAACCAGUAGACGCUUACAGCUGAUAAAAGAGAUGCAUAUAAUCAUACCGCAAUCCACACAACAUUCCACAUUGGGUUAAAUCAGCAUGUAAUACAUCUCACCUUUAAUCUUGGAGAAAGGUAUACUAUUUAUCAAUCAUCAGCACAAAAAGAAAAAUGGGAACCUAAGAAAUACCCUAACAAGUUACUUUAGGUCCAUUUUUUCCUCAUAAAGUUUAUAUAGGUUCAUUCACUUAGCAUAUAAUUAGAAGUUGGAAUUAAACCACAAAGAAACAGGUUAUAUUGGAGCAGUACAUAUCACCUCACAUAAAACAACAAUGUAAUAAGGUUUUUUUAAGUAUUACAUACAGCAUCACUGCAAAUCAUAGCUAGACCAAUGGCAACGACUACAAAGUGAAAUUAAAAUGGAAUGAUUACUUACUAGUAUCCAUCCCUAAGGCCACCAAAUUUCUCCUGACCAGCUGUAUCCCAGCAGUAAAACCUAAUCUUCCCACAGUUUGUGAAGAAAUCCAAUGGAUGCACCUCCACUCCAAUGGUGGCUGUUCCAAAAUACAAAAUUAAAAUCAGUCUUACAAAGAAAAAAAGUCUAGAAAUAACAACCAAUCUAUGCUUCAUACUGGCAACACUUACGUUCAUAUUUCUUUUCAAAUUCACCAGUAAGAUGCCUCUUCACAAAUGUAGUUUUUCCUAUACAAAAAGAAAACUUCCAAAUCAGAUAAGUAAUUAAAAAACAAGAGAAAGAACAAAACAGUCUAAUCCACAAAACCAUCACUCCUUUUUCAACCUAACACAAAAACUAGUUAGAACAGCAGCUCAAUAGAUCUAAGACUUUCACAAACCAUACUGAUUUAGAACCGCAUAUAAACACACUCUCAUUAGAGAAUUCACUUAUACCGAAAUCAAACAAAUCAUUCUAAUCACAGCCUAAAAUCACUUCAGAAUAAUCAAGACACAGGACUUGCUCCUCAAAGAAAGAGAGUAAAAUUACCAGUUCCACCAUCGCCAACAAUAACAAGUUUAAAACUGGGAUAAUCCACGGCUUGCUGACCUGGAAGAGCCUACACCCAAAAACGAUACGCAUAAAUCACAGGUCAUUCAGAUACAUCAAAAAUAACCACAAAACCCCCCACAAAGCGACAAAAGAAAAAGCUAAAAGCAUAACACUACAAAAAUAGCCAACAAAACAAAAUUUUUGAGCAUCAAAGAUAGCGUACUAACCAUGUUGUUUUGAGGAGAAUGCUGCGAGGGUUUUGAGAGGAAUGAGGAGGAUUAAGGAGGAGGGAUAUAUAUAGUUGGGAGCAAAAGGGUUUUGUAAUCAGUGUUUCCGUUCACAUCAUAGCUUUGCCCUGACGCGAUUCUCUGGACCGUUGGAUCAGUCUGUUUCUCGAUUCGGCGCUGCCGCACGUGACUCUCACGUUCUUCUCCAAAUUUGAAUUUCAAACUACAUGAGCUUUGUUUUUUUUUCUCUUCCAACCGUAAGCUUGGUUGGAUAGUUAAAUCCCAUAAUGUGAUUAUUUAAAUAGCGGAUUUUUUUUAAUUAAGUAACAAUUAAAUAGUAUUUGAUAAAAAUAAUCAUUUAGUUAAAGUUAUAUAUAUAAAUGUAUUUAAUAAUUACUACUACUAUUUUUUGUACAUGCAACAAAAUUUCUGACUCAAAAACAGGUUAAUUAGACAUCUAAAAUAUAUAAUUUACUUAGGAGAAUGUAUAAAAGUUCUAAACACCAAGUAUCAUACUUUGUCGCAUUUUGUUUGAAUUAAGAUAAUACUCCAGAAAUUUUUUAUUUUUGUUGUUGAAUAAAUUCUCACUAAGUGACAUUAGUGUGAAGAGAAUUAGACUAGCACCGUUCUAGUGUUAACCUUAAGAAGUAAUUAAUCAAAUUGGUUAGUGGCAUAUUCUUAGUGAUAUAGCAUAAGAGUAUGUCCCCACAAUGUCCCCACCAUUCAUUUGCACACAAAAAAAUCCAACAAUAAAUAACAUACUCAGUAUAAUUUUAUAGGUGGGAUUUGAGAAAAAUAAUGUAUGCGCAGACCUUACUCCUAUCAUAUGGAGAUAAAAAGACUGUUUCCAAAAACCCUCGACUCAAGGACACAACAAAAAAAUAGUAGAUUGGAAAAAAGAAUAAGAAUUUCUUGUUAUUUCACUGCAUAUUGAAAAAAUAUGGAAUGUAUUCUAUUAAUCACUAUCUAUUAAAAAAGAAUACCAUAAAAAAACAUGCCUUCCAAAAAUAUAGAUGAUAAAUAAAUAAAGGUUUUUUGAGGGUAGUGCCUUGCAGUCAUUAGAGCACAAUAUAGUGUUUCAGUCUCUAAAGAGCUUAGCAAUACCAUGCAUAUUUUCUCGGAAUAUUGCAUCCAGUGUUAUUAAACUGUAUUAUUGUAAUAAAUACUAAAAACACUAAACUUUCCGAAAUAGAAACAGAAACAGAAAGUUAGUAGAAACAGUAUGUCAAAAUAAUAUAUGAAAUUAAUUUCANNNNNNNNNNNNNNNNNNNNNNNNNNNNNNNNNNNNNNNNNNNNNNNNNNNNNNNNNNNNNNNNNNNNNNNNNNNNNNNNNNNNNNNNNNNNNNNNNNNNNNNNNNNNNNNNNNNNNNNNNNNNNNNNNNNNNNNNNNNNNNNNNNNNNNNNNNNNNNNNNNNNNNNNNNNNNNNNNNNNNNNNNNNNNNNNNNNNNNNNNNNNNNNNNNNNNNNNNNNNNNNNNNNNNNNNNNNNNNNNNNNNNNNNNNNNNNNNNNNNNNNNNNNNNNNNNNNNNNNNNNNNNNNNNNNNNNNNNNNNNNNNNNNNNNNNNNNNNNNNNNNNNNNNNNNNNNNNNNNNNNNNNNNNNNNNNNNNNNNNNNNNNNNNNNNNNNNNNNNNNNNNNNNNNNNNNNNNNNNNNNNNNNNNNNNNNNNNNNNNNNNNNNNNNNNNNNNNNNNNNNNNNNNNNNNNNNNNNNNNNNNNNNNNNNNNNNNNNNNNNNNNNNNNNNNNNNNNNNNNNUUAUUCCCCUCAAGUACCCGAGGUGUUCGAAUAUAUCCUCUCAGGAUAGAACAAUUUAACUCACCAGAAUGUAGGUACCAAAAACGCCGAUAAACAUCGAACGACUCGAAGGCUGUAAAACACACUUGAAAUUUUUGUGCAGAAGAAGAAGAUCAGAAAAUUUCGGUAGGAAAGAUUCCGGGAUUCAAAGUAUAUUUAUAGACUUUCUGGCACUGUUUUUGAAAAGGUUUGCAGCCUUUUAGAAACAACCAUGGCUGUUGGGAAUGUUUCUGUUUGAAAUAUUGCGGGAAAAUGAAUUUAAAAUAAUUUGGGAAAGAAAACAGAUCAGAACGGGUUGCGUCGCGGGUCCUAGGUUAUUCUGGAUUGAAUUUUCGUUAAUUAAUUAAAUAAUUGAAAGGAAUUUUAUCCAAAAAGAUUAAUCAAUCAAUCUUUGACCGAAUCCGAAGCCAAAUCCGAAGCCGAGCGAGCGAGCGAGCACGCGACGACGGCGCGAGACUUGCUUUCUUCUAAACUCUUUAAGAGCUAAAAGAAGAGCAAUUGUAUAUGUAACAGCCCGACCCACUAGUGAUAUCGUCCGCUCCGGGCUAGGCCCUUACGGGUUUAAAACGCGUCACUAGAACCUAAGGCUUGUUAACUUAUAUACCCAGCAUCUCUCUUGUGUUUUGACAAUGUGGUCUAUAGUCUAGGAUGUUACAUACACCUCCUCUUACGGAUUCAGUGUCCUCGCUGAGGUUUGCCCCAUUGCAUGAGAUUCGCCUAGACUCAGCAGUGAGGUUUGCCCCGCCUAAUCGGAAUUUGCCUAAACUCAGUUGAACUUUAACCCACUAUUGGCAAGGCUAACACAAGAAUGGCUCUGAUACCCUCCGUAACAGCCUAGCCCACUAGUAUUGUCCGCUCUGAGCCUAGGCUCUCACGAGUUUAAAAUGCAUCACUAGGGUCUAAGGCUUGUUAACUUAUAUACCCAACAUCUCUGUUGUGUUUGGCCGAUGUGGGACUCUGUCUAUAGUCUGGGGUGUUACAGUAUAUAAACCCAUCAAAAGUCUUUUCUUUCUCCAAUAUGGGACAAUGUCCCUUUGCCAAGGAGGGAAACUCAAAUAUUUUAUUUUUCCUUUAUUUUCCAUUCACCUUCUUUAAACUAACUCAAGCUUAAAAAAUCCUAACAAUUCCCCACAUGAAUGAGCAAUGACUAUAAAACAAAGGAAUGCACGGACGCGUGUGUGUUUUACAUGCAAGAAUUAGUUGCAUCUGGAUAAGUAGGUUUCCUUUUGAACUUUCCGUAGUGAACUUAUAUUAAAUAUACUCGGUCAAUCGGUAGAUUUGAUAUCUUUGAAUCGUCGAGCUUUGUUGUAUACCUAGACAACAUAACUCACACAAUCAACCCUUAACCAUCUAUGUUUCUCACGGUUGUGUUCGUUUCAGCCAUGUUACGACCCAGAUUUUUCACCAUCGGGAGUCGUGAUGGCGCCUACUAGUGAAAGCCAGGAAAGCCGACCACUUGAAUUAUUUACAUCUUUCCUAUUUUUAAUCUUUUAACAAUUAACAACCAAUAUUAGAUAAACAGCGAAAUUUAAUAAGCGAAAAACUGAAAUGUGAUAUUUUAAUAAAGAUGCCGAUACCAAUCCAUACAUAUACUACCCAAAACUGAUGUCACAAUUCCAUAGACUGUCUAGGAAUACUACAAAUAAAGGUAUGAAAGAUUUAUUACAACACUGUCUCUGAAAUAUAUAAAAGAAACAGAAAAGGAUAGGAGGAGACGCCAAAACCUGCGGACGCCUACAUGACUACCUCGGAUCUCCGAAUAGACUGAAGGCAGCAACCCCAAAGCUAAGGUCUGAAAGCUGCUGCACCAGGAUCUGCACACAGUGCAGAGUAUAGUAUCAGCACAACCAACCCCAUGUGCUGGUAAGUGCCCAGCCUAACCUCGACGAAGUAGUGACGAGGCUAGGACCAGACUACCAAAUAAACCUGUGCAGUUAAAUCAUAUAUAACGAAAAAUAAAAUCAGGAAUGAACAGUUAAGGAUAGGAGUAUCAAACCUCCUUUUUCCUACUCCCGGAAGGGAUUAUAGGGGAAUUUUUCCAAUUAAAGUAAAAAUCGAAACGAGAUUAUUUAUUUAUUUAAAAAUCGAAACGAGAUUAUUUAUUAGCGUUUCCACUAGAGAUAAUUUAUGGUGUCUCAAGUCACUAGUUUAGUAUCCUGAAUCGAGGAAAUUUGACUCUUAUUUAUGGUCUGCGAACAUAGAAAUCUGGGUAAGGAAUUCUGUUAACCCGGGAGAAGGUGUUAGGCAUUCCCGAGUUCCGUGGUUCUAGGACGGUCUCUCAAAUAUUAUUAUUGGGUCAAUUAUCUGAUUUAAUUACACAUUUAAAAUCUACUUGCCCUUCUUAACCUUUUAGCCGCUUUUAAUAUUUCAGGAAAAUUCAAAGUUAUUUAAAAUACACUGUAAGCCACGCUACAUGAAAUGCACGCGCGGUUCACGACACGUUCUAUUAACCUUGUUGGAAAUUAGAAUCGGGUCACAUGAAAUGUACACCCGGAUUUUAGAAAUUAAGCACCACAACUACGUCACGGGAACCGUACCCAUAGCUAUGAAAAUUUAAUAUAGCAUGCCUAAAGCAAGCUACGAAUAUGAGAGUUGUUUAUUCACUUCAAUUUGAGAUUUUUUGUGAAACUCAUCGCUCAUUAACCAAAUAUUACAGAAUGGACUAAAAUAGAUGUUGAAACUAUUGUAUAAAACAGAGCAGGAGAUCGACGCCUAAACCAAACAGAAUUAGGCCAAUUUUCCAAACUUCCGGGCUAAAUUAACUGAUUCAAUUACUUGUAUUGGAUCAUUAUAUUAACAUGCUACUAUAAAAAUUAACAACAUAAGCAUAUUAACAACAAAAUUAACAACACAAACAUAUUAAUAACAAAAAUUAACAACAUAAGCAUAUUAACAACAAAAAUCAAAAUACAUGGCAUGACUAUUAAAAAUAAACUUACAAGAGAAAUCAAACAAAUAACUCAAAUAUUCAAGACAACAAUUCUGGAAAUAGGAAGAGGAAUGAAGUUUAAAGUGUGACUUCUAAUGAACAUGACCUUGACUAUUUUGGACAUAGACAGUGCACAUAACCAUGACCGGAGAACACUCGUCGGCGACUUCAACAGGAAAUUCGAACUUCAGUCAAGCUCUACCCUACGUUCUCGCCUCAGUUUCUGUUUGAACCCCCAUUUUGUUUGUUCUUUUUAGCUGCUGGUGGUUGACGUUUGGUGGUGUGAAGUGAAGAAAAAAAACAGCGGUUGCUGUGUGUGUGGGGUGUGGUGUGAGGAGGAAGUCGUCACCGGCGAGUUGAAGAAGAAGAAGGGGUCAGUGGCGUAACUUAUCGAGCCUUGUUGAUCUGUUUUGGAGAGAUGAAAAAGAACAAGUAUGGGUAUGGCGUUUGCAGUGGUGAAGGAAAUGAAGGGGUCUGGUUCGUUGGGUGAGGGUGUGGUUGUUGCAACUCAUUUUUCCGGCGAGCUGGGAUUGGAGUUGGGAAGGCUAUGGUCGUGGGUUGCUCUGCAUGGAGAUGGGACGACAUUGAGGGCUGGUGGGGCUGUCCGGCGUGAGGGGUCGCUGGUUUCAGGGGUGGUCGGCGGGUUUGAGUGUAGAAAUCCUAGGGUUUUGCUUGUUCUCUAGGGUUUUUGGUUGUCUUUCAGGUGUGAAGAAGAAGGCUUAGGUUUUGGUAAGUUUUCUCAAUCAAAAAAACAGCUGUGGCUAACCUCGAUCUAGGUUUUUUUUUUAAUUCUUCUUGUAUAUUAUGCUAGUCUAGGUUUGGGCUUUUGAGUUAAUGGGCUAAGAGAUU